AAAAAAAAUUGCUCUAUACUCAGGACAUUCUCCAGCACCGAAUAAGCUCUUAUAGAUGUGAUGAAUGCAAAUUAAGAAGGUCUCAAAACGAAGGCAACAACAAAUGUCUAGAAACACUCUCUAGUACACGAUGGCGUCAACAAAAGGUGAUUAACUGGGCGUCUGGGCACUAAGUUCCGAUGUAAGUUAGCCAGCGUGCCUUUGUAGAGGGAUUUAGUCCGAUGGACGUUGGGCUGAAAGCCAGCAACACAGAGCAACCUUGGGAGCAGAAGAGAAUGGCUAAUGGUUCAGGCCUGGAAAUUCAGGCCAAGUGAAAGGCAAGGCAACAAAGUUGUCAUCUCUCUGGUGGCACUGAACAGGUCAUCGAGGGUGCAGGGAGGACUCCAGCGGCCCUCGUGAAACGCCCUCACUCCAGUGCUCCGUUAGCGUUCAAAAGGCUUCGAGGGAAAAGAGACAUCGGAAUAUGCCAUCUUCCAUUUAAGAAUAGACAUUGUCUUCAAAAUUUUUCAACUCACUUUAAACACUGGCGGGCCCUCAGUAUGCGUGGAAUGAAUACAUUUCCACGCAAAUCAAUACAUCCCACGACUGAGGUCGGGUGUCUUGUCCACAAUAAUCAUCAGCACAAAGGCAUCUGUCCAGCCGAGCCAACGGGUGUUGCCUGAACCUCUACGGUGGGGGCUGACGGUGUCCAGCCUCGUGCGGGAUGCCAAGUGGGAAACCGCCAUCCCUGCCCUCAGGGAGACCUGGGAGAUGAGAGUCACCCAAAUGAGAUGAUUAAGUAACAGGACAUGUCAUCACUGCCCAACUGUGUGCUAAGCAAUCAGGUGCUACAGGAACAGGGCAAAGUGGAGAGCAAACAACUGGAGAGGCAUUGCGGAGAAACUGGGUGUGGCCAAGCCUUGAGAAAUGACAUCGCCUGCAGACAGGUGACAUGAGGGAGGGCGCAGAAGUGCUACCAAGAAGAGAGUCGAACCAGCAUGUGUGUUAUUGGAUUCUGAGGCAGUCACACAAGGAGUGUGAGAGGUGGCUGCCCCAAAUCCCCAAACAAGAGUAUUUCUGAAGUUUCCCAGUAUUCACACUUCCGGUCCUUUAUUUAUUCAGUUUCUUCUGCUGGCAGUUCACAACCCUAGUGACCUCUUGCUCAUAUUUAAAGGUUCAGCUCAAAUGCGGGUGCUUUUAUGAACGCUUCCGUGGUGUCCCUUCACCCAGUGCUCACGCUUCUCUUGGAACCUAUCUAUGCCCUUUGCCUACGCAGCUCCUUCACCACUGCAAUUAAUAGCAAAUUACAUUUAUUAGGCUCUUACUGUGUGCCAGAAACCAUGCUAAACAUUUUAAAUGUGUUCUUUAAGCCUCAUAAUUGCACGAGAUGUUAUUUCUCCUGUUUUAUACAUGAAGAACCUGAGGCUUUAAAAAGGUUAGGUGUCCCAAAAUACCAAACGAGAAAGUAAGAAAGCUGGGCUUCAAACCAUUUGUGGAACUCUGGAGGCCACUCUUAGGACACUGGACCACAAAUGCUCUUUGCUCAUCAGUCUUCUCAGGAUUCCAGGAUGGUGGCUGACAUAUGGCUCAAAAUUGUUGGAUCAAAUCAUUACACCUGUCAUACAUAUGCCUGGGCCUAAACCUAGGUACCCCAGAUAGACGUCCACCAACGUGGAAGUCACAUACCCAGGAGAAAGUGUAAGCUUACUUUGAAUUUGAGCUCCUUUAUUUCAUGGACUCAAGUGUGGUGAGAGGUCCCAUUCUUUGCUCAACAAAAGGACACACAGAUAACACCGGCUGGGUCUAAAGGAAGGACCAGUGAGAUCACUCCAUCUGACCCUGUUAUGGGACAGACUGAGGCCCAGACAGCAGAAGGGCUCAGCGGGGGCUCCGUGGUGAGCCGCAGCUGGAGCCCCCAAGUCCGAACCCCGCCCGCAGUUUUUCCUCGCCUAUCCAGUCGGGCCUGGGGCUGCAUCCCCAGGCCGACUGCCUCGGGCGGAAAGCUCGGACCACCGGCUUCCUCCGUCGGUCCCUGACGCUCCUCUCCUCCAGCCACUGGCCUGGUGUCUCCCACCUCCUCUAGCCUCAGGGCCCGGGGAAGAUGCUCCCCCUCUCGUCUCUACGGCGUCUGCAACGCCCUCCCGCAUCUCCGAGGCCGCUCCCGCCCCACUUCUCAGUGGUUCUGCUUCUGAGGCUGUUCAGCUUCGCCACUUGCGACCCACCCCCCCCGCCUCGGCGCGACCCCCUCGUCCCUGUGCGGGCAGCACAGGCCACCGCUUCCACGGGAGACGGGACCCACACCCCCGUGACCUUGUCACAGUUCACCUCCCCGCGAGCCCGAGCCACGCCCACACCCCCACUUCCUUUCG
rnacentral:lncRNA from 1 species